rnacentral:rRNA from 1 species
AAUAGCAUAUUCAUUUGACGUUAGCUGCAGAAGAAGCACCGGCUAACUCCGUGCCAGCAGCCGCGGUAAUACGGAGGGUGCGAGCGUUAAUCGGAAUUACUGGGCGUAAAGCGCAUGCAGGUGGUUUGUUAAGUCAGAUGUGAAAGCCCCGGGGCUCAACCUCGGAAUUGCAUUUUGAAACUGGCAAACUAGAGUACUGUAGAGGGGGGUAGAAUUUCAGGUGUAGCGGUGAAAUGCGUAGAGAUCUGAAGGAAUACCGGUGGCGAAGGCGGCCCCCUGGACAGAUACUGACACUCAGAUGCGAAAGCGUGGGGAGCAAACAGGAUUAGAUACCCUGGUAG